rnacentral:lncRNA from 1 species
CUGGCCUACUGCCAUAAAGACUUUUAUUAUGACACAGCCAAUCAAAUUCUGUACAUCCUAGAGAAGAAGCUUCAAAACGCUGGCCAGUUCAUCUCCAUUCUCUUACACUCAAUGGCCUACAUAACCUCAGGCUCAGAAUCUCUUGAAUUCAUAAAAGCCUUCCACUUGGCUGUAUCGGCAUUAAGCAUGCAGUUGUUUCAUCACUCUUUCACUGAGGACCAGAGGAAAGGAAAGAUGAUUGAGGAAAACACACAGAAGGCCUUUGGAACAUUAGUAGAGGACUUCUUCACUGUAAAAAUACCCACUGAAACCCAUUUCGCUG